GAAAUGCGAUAAGUAAUGUGAAUUGCAGAAUUCAGUGAAUCAUCGAAUCUUUGAACGCACCUUGCGCUCCUUGGUACUCCUUGGAGCAUGCCUGUUUGAGUAUCAUGAAAUCUUCAAAGUAAAUCUUUUGUUAACUCAAUUGGUUUCUACUUUGGUAUUGGAGGUCUUUGCAGCUUCACACCUGCUCCUCUUUGUUCAUUAGCUGGAUCUCAGUGUUAUGCUUGGUUCCACUCGGCGUGAUAAGUUAUCUAUCGCUGAGGACACUGUAAAAGGUGGCCAAGGUAAAUGCAGAUGAACCGCUUCUAAUAGUCCAUUGACUUGGACAAUACUUUUAUGAUCUGAUCUCAAAUCAGGUAGGACUACCCGCUGAACUUAAGC
rnacentral:misc_RNA from 1 species